GCGUGUCGUCCUCGUCGCUCUCCACCGCCUCCAUCUCCACAGAGUCGUCGUAGUUUGACAGCAGGCCGUACUUUUUCUUGUAGGCGGGCCUCUUCAGCCUGUCAAUCAAGUAAAAAUCACCAUUAUUACCAGCACUAAAUGUUUUUUAAUAAUUAUAAUACAAGUCUGUUUGGUGCUUUAGAUGCUGAACUUAAGAGUGGCUCCAACCGCAAAAUAAAACACAGGAGUCGUAGUUUACAGAGUACGUACAGCUGUAACCUGUACAGUCUGUAAAGCACACCGAGACAAAUGUAUAAUUUGUGAUAUUGGGCUAUACAAAUACAUUUGAUUUGAUUUAGCUGAUAAGAGACAAAGUGUUAAAUUGAGAGAUUUAUGGAUGGAGUUUGGUGUGACGAGCACAUUCAGGGGAAUGAUGAUGGUAUUUUAUUUUAGGGAUAAACUGAUAUAAAUGAUAAUAGUUAUUGAUAAUUAAAACGAUAGUUUGGUGGGCAGAAUGCAGCGUUUACUGAGCAGUGCGUCAGUUAGCUGUUGUUUUCAAACGCUCUGUUGGUUUUAAGGACAACAACAGCAGCCGUUUCCUCCGUCAGUUGAUGAAUGAUGGAGUCUGUGUUGGUCGUUCUGAUCUUCCUCUCUCUCAGCGGUUUGCCGCGUCGCCACGUCGCCGCCCUGCCAGCCUCCACUGUGCAGGUGAGAGUCGGGGAGGCCGCCACCCUGCAGUGCCCCCUGCUGAACGUCACCAACGCCUCCUCCACCCUCAGCUGGUACAAGAAGGCAGAAGGACAGAGUCCGGAGCUGCUCUUGAGCUUCAGGUCUGCAGACACCUCUAAGGUGAGGUACGGCCCCGGCGUUGCUCCUGACAAAGUCUCGGCUGCAGCCGACGGCUCGCUGCUGCUGCACGACUCCGAGCAGAGCGACUCAGCAGUUUAUUUCUGCGGCAUGACUCAGGGCGGAGAGCAGAAGAAGAAACCAAUGCCACUGGAACACACCGGGAAAUAAUGUGAACUUUGCAGCUUGUUGAUUUAUACUUUCUUUAUCAUUUUCAUUCAUUCAUUUUUUAUCUCAUGAUUUAAACUUUGUAUCUUAUGAUUUAAACAUUUAAGCUUCAGACUGUCCUGUUGUACGUUCAUUUUUUAAACUAUUAUUAUUUUUAAAUGUUUCUGUUAUUAUAUAAUUGAUUUCAGAUUACAAGAAAGCCAAGUUUUACCUGAAGAAUAGGAUCACCUGUAUGAUGUAAUGCUAUAAAUGUAACUUUCAAUUAUCUUAUUAAAAAUAUAUAGUUAUUCCGUGUGAAAA